CAGGUGAUGAGUUCCCUCGCGGGGGUAGACAUAUUGCCUAAUACAGGUACCCCCUGUAUGAAAUGUUUUGUGACUGUUUUUGCUUCAGGGAAUUUCCUUUGUUUUGUACUGUACAGCAUCAAGUCAGAGACACGCCGUCAGUGGGUCAUAUCAUCGGUGCUAUAUGAGGCCAGGUCGUGCACAAGGAGACCAUGUGGUACUGAGGAAGGUGGAGGUACCUCUUCUUAUCGUCCUGCAGCAGAAGAUGAUUCAGUUCAACAAGUUUGGAGUAUUUUGAUUCAGGUGCUGAGUUAGGUGAUGCAAUGCCGCGGGUGCAAUGUAACGCAAAGGUGGAACCAGUUCUGUCAUAAUCCUACUGCAAUUCCUCGUCGACAUGCUAUGCUCUGUUUUACCGAGAUGAGAACAAUAAUUUGAGAUGCACCGUGUGCACAAAACAUUGAAGAUUAAGCACUCAAUUGACCGAACAAGCCUACGAGUCUUGGUAUUCG